ACUUGGCGCAUAAGGUGAACCCUAUCGUGAACGUUACCCUCAAUUGUAUGGGUUUGAGAAGUCCUAAACUAGACAGAGUUGGAAAUUAUUUUAAUACCGAACAGGGUAUUGAGGCGGUUGUGUGUUGUGGCACCCAUUACUGGACGGGGUAUGAUGAAUAGGGUAAGGAGAAUCCAAUUUUGGAAAACAACGAAGAGUUAAUUGUUAUA
rnacentral:lncRNA from 1 species